UACUACCAUCAGCUUCACCGCAGAGUCCUCGUCAUUGUUCCGCAGCAGCUGACUACUGAUCGGAGCCUCUGACAAAAUCGACUUUUUACUCGAGUCAGAUAUUUUGUGGUCCUUUUUGAAGGGAACCAAAUUGACAAACGAACCCUCCUCUUCUUCCUCCUCCGCCAGCCUCGUCAACAACUUGGUGAUCUUCUUCGACUU
rnacentral:lncRNA from 1 species